UGAGUGCAUAUAUAUAUAUAUAUAUAUAGAGCGUCUGGUAUGCUUAUGGAAGCACGGAGCGCUCCGUGUUUUCACUUUGUUUUCGAUGUUCGGACUUUUGAAUCGGCGAUCGGCUCCAUUAGACUUGAUCUAGAGUAUUUAAAGUAUCUAGAAAAUAAAUUUUGCGAUUUUUCGAUAUCAUUUGCCUAGUGAUCGAAGUGGCUCAAAAUCAAUGGCUGAAAAUAAAAAUCUUACAAAAUAUGAUAAUAUAACAUUAAAAUUUUAGAUCAAAGUUAUUGAUCUUGUUUUAUAUGGUAUAAAGAAUUUUCUAUCAAAAUUUCGUGCGAUUUGGAUAUUUCUACAUUGUUAAACUUGCAACCGGCUCACCACGGCCAUUAAAAUUAUUN
rnacentral:lncRNA from 1 species